CGUCUCCCAAACAGUACGAUUCUCGGCUUCGUCCUAUGCACUGCGCCGGCGCCUCCAUGACGGACAAUGACGGGAAAUGCUUCAGGCCUGAAUGCCGCACACAUUCCUGUGAAUCAUGAUAGUUCUCAGGCCUCCCGCAGCUGCGGCGAUCCGACCAGUGAACAAGUCGACUUGGCUUCGACUCAUUCUGGGGACGAAACGGUUCUUGCAACAGACCCUUUAGGGGAUGCAUUUGACGAGCCGAUUUCAUUCAAGCGCAAGCAAAAAAGUCCCGCCCGAUUCGCUCUCUCGAGCUUCUUCUCCUCCACCGAAGGAACCUCUCAUCCCCCUUUACACAAUCCUUUUGGAAACAAUAACGGCGCAUCCACAAAUCGCACUCCACCACCCGCGGCGGCGACGACUGGCAAUGGAGGACUAGAGGGGAAUAAAGCUGGCGGGCCACUUGACUGGUACGUCGAGGGCCCCGGCCGACGAGUGGGCUACGACAACUUAACGGCUAUCGAUUGGAUCUUCGAGUAUACAAAGGAGCGCCAGCGGAUCAGGCAUCUUUAUGCCAGCAACAAAGGUCUCUUUGGCUACGUUCGCAAAGUUCUAGAUGCUAGCCAUAUCUGGAUUAUCUUGAUAUUAACGGGGAUAGCUGUUGGCGUAAUAGCAGCGUGCAUAGACGUCGCAAGCAGUUGGCUUGGAGAUAUCAAAACUGGCUACUGUCGCACUGGUGGCGAAGGAGGGAAGUUCUAUUUGAAUAAGAGCUUUUGCUGCUGGGGCUAUGAUGAUUUAUCCGAGUGUCAGCAUUGGACACCGUGGCGUAAUGCUCUACAUGUUGGAUCUAAAACUGCCGGGUAUGCGGUGGAAUAUGUAUUCUUCAUCAUGUAUUCUAUUCUUUUCGCAACAACCGCAAGUGUGCUCGUUAGAAAGUUUGCGGUACACGCCAAGCAUAGUGGUAUCCCGGAGAUAAAAACUGUCCUCGGCGGUUUCGUAAUCAAGCGGUUUAUGGGCGCUUGGACGCUACUGAUCAAAUCUCUCGGUCUUUGUCUUUCUGCCGCGUCGGGAUUAUGGCUCGGAAAAGAAGGCCCGUUAGUCCAUGUGGCUUGCUGCUGCGCAAGUUUAAUUAUGAGGCCCUUCCCCAGUCUAAAUCGUAAUGAGGCAAGAAAGCGUGAGGUUCUCUCGGCAGCCUCUGCGGCUGGCAUUUCUGUUGCAUUCGGAUCUCCGAUUGGAGGUGUAUUGUUCAGCUUAGAGCAAUUAUCAUACUAUUUCCCAGAUAAAACGAUGUGGCAAAGCUUCGUAUGCGCCAUGGUUGCAGCAGUGACAUUGCACGCGCUCAACCCCUUUCGAACCGGCAAAAUUGUUCUCUACCAAGUUACAUACAGUCGUGGGUGGCAUCAAUUUGAACUGCUUCCGUUUGCUGUGCUCGGCAUAAUUGGUGGAUUGUAUGGCGGUCUGUUCAUUAAACUCAACAUGAGAGUCGCCAAAUGGCGAGAAGCGAGGAACUACUCACACCCGAUCUUACAAGUGGCCCUUGUUGCACUCAUCAGCGCCCUUAUUAACUUCCCAAAUACAUUCAUGCGGGCUCAAUUAUCUGACCUUGUAUAUUACCUCUUUGCGGAGUGCGCGGAAGUUACAGAUGAUCAGUUCGGGCUUUGCAAAACGGGAUCUGCAUCUUUGGGCGUUAUUGGUCUUCUGCUCCUUGCUGCAAUUCUCGGCUUUUUCCUUGCCUCAAUCACAUUCGGCCUAGAUCUCCCGGCGGGCAUCAUCCUCCCGUCGUUGGCGAUGGGGGCACUCUCCGGUAGAGCUCUUGGCAUUGCAUUUGAAAUGUGGCAGAAGGCUCAACCAGAUUUACUGCUCUUCCGUAAAUGCGAGGCCGACAUUCCAUGCAUUACUCCCGGCACGUAUGCUAUAGUCGGUGCUGCUUCUGCACUCGGAGGGGCAACUAGAAUGACGGUGUCGAUAGUGGUCAUCAUGUUUGAACUUACCGGUGCUCUCACUUACGUCAUCCCCAUUAUGAUUUCUGUGAUGCUCUCCAAGUGGUGUGGAGAUACUUUUGGGAAACGUGGUAUUUACGAAUCAUGGAUCCACCUUCAUGGGUAUCCCUUCAUUGAGCAAAAGGAUGAGGUUGUCCUACCCGAUGUCCCAGUGAGCCAAGUCAUGACCAGUAUUCAUGACCUUUCAGUUAUCACUGCUGUCGGCCACACAAUCGAUUCCCUCCUGCAUCUCCUCGACACAACCAGCUAUCGAGGUUUCCCCGUCGUCUCCGAUACAUCUAACCCUAUCUUACUGGGCUACAUAUCCCGUAACGAACUUAGCUUCGCCCUUAAAUCGGCUACCUCUCGAAGCUCCCGAGGCGUAUCUCCGGAAACCCCUGCAUAUUUCGCUCAUCAGCCCUUUGCCGAUCCACUAGAGAUCCUGGAUCUUCGCCCUUGGAUGGACCAGACACCCAUCACACUCAACAGCCGCGCCAGCUUCCUAGUCGUCUUGACUAUGUUCCAACGAUUAGGCCUUCGAUACGUACUAUUUGUGAACAAAGGUGCUCUCCAAGGGUUCCUGACAAAAAAAGACGUCUGGUAUAUUAUUGAAGAUGCGCAGAAACGGAGGGCGGAGGGCUUAAGAGACAAUGAAAUUGGAGAAGGAAACACCGAGGAUGAGGGAAGGUUUCGACGAAAUGAUGAUAACGACCACCACAAUAUAAGCACGUUCAGUCCGCUUGAUACUAGACAUUCGUUAUAAUGGUUUGUUUUGAUACGGAAGUUUUGGGCUUUUGAAAGGUCUCUUCAGGACUCUUGACUUUUUCUUUGGUUUUCUUGUAUAAUACCGUCCACAUUUGGUUUUUUUUUUUUGGUGUAAGGAGUAAUCGUGUUUCUUGUGAAGAUGUGUAAUGAUUUAGACCAUAGAUA
rnacentral:sRNA from 1 species